rnacentral:misc_RNA from 1 species
GGUCUCAUGAUCGGCUCACCUUAAAUGAAUUAGCUGGACUUGUUCUUGCAGACUGGUUUGACUUGCGUAAUAAGUAUUUCGCAAAGGACAUUGCUUUGGUGAUGGCCAAUCUGCUUGACGAUUGUCUGCUUUCCAACCUGUCUUUGGACAAUACUUUAUGAUCUGGCCUCAAAUCAGGUAGGACUACCCGCUGAACUUAA